GAGGGUGUAGCUCAGUGGUAGAGCACAUGCUUAGCAUGCACAAGGUCCUGGGUUCAAUCCCCGGUAUCACCA
rnacentral:tRNA from 1 species